CCCCAGGGUGUUUUAUGGGGGUGCUGUGUGACAUCCCCAAUACAAAUCAGCCACCUGACAGCUCACAGCCCUUUAUUCACACAGCAGCCAUGACCCCAAUCACUGUAUUGGAGCCACUGGAGCUCUGCUGUUGCUCAUUUGCCACGCAGGAGGCCGGAGGGGAACAAUGAGCCCUGAUAUUCACUUUGCCCCAUUGAAAGUGGGCAAUGGAGAGAGGCUGUGUCUGCAUUUCUGGGCACUCAGAACUACAGCAGAGAUUGGGCACAAACGACGGUGGGAUGACACUGGGAAUGCACAGACAUCAUCCAAAGCCUCCAGGGAUGGAGCUGAGAAAGCAAAACUCCAACGGAAUUGCGUCUGUCCUGAUAGAGCAAAGCCAACAAGAAAUGCCUUUGGGAGUUCAUUUGGGGAAAAUAAAAGUAGCUUAGGGAAUAUCGGAUCAAAUCCAGCGUGGAGAAGUCUGUGGGAUCAUAGGAUGGGAACUCGAAGAAGGCAGUGGGAUCAUAGGAUCACAGAAUCACAGAACGGCCAGGGUUGGAAGAGUCCUCAAGGAUCACGAAGCUCCAACCCCCUGCCACACGCAGGGCCACCAACCUUCACAUUUCACACCAGCCCAGGCUGCCCAGGGCCCCAUCCAACCUGGCCUUGAACACCUCCAGGGAUGGACGGGGCAUCCACAGCCUCUCUGGGCAGCUGUUCCAGCACCUCACCGCUCUCUCUUUAAAGAACUUCCCCCUGACAUCCAACCUCAAUCUCCCCUCCCUCAACUUCAAACCAUUUCCCCUUGCCCCUGCAGUUAUCAACCCUUUCAAAGAGUUGAUUCCCCUCUUGUUUGUUGGCUCCUUUCAGGUAUUGAAAGGCUGCAAUGAAGUCACCCCUCAGCUUUCUUUUCUCCAGGCUGAACAAGAUGCCACGGGAUGCACCCCAUGAGAACCGUGAGGCUGCAUGCAGUCACCUUCGAUUGUGGGAAGAAAAAUGGACGCCUCCAGAGCUCUCAGGGGUCCCCAAAGCACACUGGGAGGGGGGCUCUUGGAGGCCUGUGGGGCUCCAGUGUCAAACAGGGCAUGGUAGGAGCCCUCAGGGGCACAUCAGACAGCUUUAUGUGGGCCCUGGUGUCCCGCAGAGCAUGCUGGGUGGUUGCUGGACUCGAUUAGGGAGCACUGAGACGGCCUGGAGCGCACAGAGGCCUCCUAAGGGCGCUUAGCGCUGUGCCAACGCCUUGGGGUGGGCCUGAAGGCCUUUAUGGCAGAAUAGAAGGCCUUCAGGGCACUGCAGAGCGCAAUUAUGGGCGUUCCUCAGCCUCCAAGGCCUUUGUGGCAGAACAGAAGGGCUUCAGGGCACGGCAGAGCGCAAUUAGGGAUCUAUAGGCGUACCUCAGGGCCCCACCGGAGUGCACGCUGAGAUUCGCAGCUCGCAGCCAGCCGCUCAAGUUCACCCCACUGCUGCCUCAGCCGCCCGGAAGUGCCCUUGAACGACUUCCGGAACCCGCGCAAAGAACAACCGGAAGUCGUAAUCCGGAAGUUACAAUCCAAAAAUCACAAUCCGAACGUCACGAUCCGAACGCCACGAUCCGAAAGUAGCACCCUCCCCUCCCCCUCCUUCCGGAAGUACCGCCUCCCCUCCAAUAGGAGUGGGUUUAUUGGGUAGCCACGCCCCCCACUCUGCUUGACAACCAAUGGAAAGCCGUGUUCGGGGUGAGGCCCCGCCCCGCGCCUGGGAAUUCCCCCCUCCCCGAAGGACGUCACCGCUGCCUUUAUAUGGAGAGGCGGCGGCGCUCGGCGCUCUGUUGCGCAGCAGCGAUGGGACACAGAACAACAAUGGAGCUGGAUGCGGAGCGAGCAGCGCGAGCCUCAGGUGAGGGCUGGGGG
ensembl:lncRNA